CUCUGCUCUGGCUCUUCUCACUUACCUGUGAGAAGCAAGCUGCAGCUGUGCAGAGACCCACAUGGCAAGGAGUGAGGACCAGAGAGGACAAGCCGAGAGAACUGAAGCCUCCAGCCUAGCAGCCGGGGAGGAAGUGACUCUUGCCAGCAACCAAGGCUGCAUCUGAAAAAGAUACAGUCAGGCAGAAUUGUGACACUGCAGAUGUGGCCCCAGCAGCAAGAAUAGUGCCAGACACUAGGAUGCUCAACUUGAAAAGAGAAACUACGCCAAAAUCCAAGGAAACAGGAGAAAAAAAUCAGAAGA